UACAGAGGUCUCAAGCGUUGUUCGGAUUCAUUGGGCGUAAAGGGUGCGUAGGUGGCGCGGUAAGUCGGGGUGUGAAAUCUCGGAGCUUAACUCCGAAAUUGCAUUCGAUACUGCCGUGCUCGAGGACUGGAGAGGAGACUGGAAUUCAUGGUGUAGCAGUGAAAUGCGUAGAGAUCAUGAGGAAGACCAGUGGCGAAGGCGGGUCUCUGGACAGUUCCUGACACUGAGGCACGAAGGCCAGGGGAGCAAACGGGG
rnacentral:rRNA from 1 species